AUGUUGGCCUCCCUAAGGAUUUUUCACCCUCUCACAAGGUGUGUCCAAUAAACAGUACAGUCACUGAUCUUUGUCAACUUUUAAAGAAAAUAACAGAAUAUGAAGAAGGAAGACUAUAUAUAGGAUCGAUCUAUUUCAUAACUGGAAAAAGAGAAGCAGUUCACAAAUGUUGAUGAGCAGAAGAGAAGAAACUCUGGCUGCACAAAAAUCUGAGCUCUUGAAAAAGAAACAAAAAAAAGAAAUGAAAAUAUGAAUGAUAUUCAAUCAAGGGAUCCAAAUGAUGAAAUUCUGGAAAUUCCACAGGGAGAGACGUACAAUAAGGAUUUUUGAAUUGACCAUCUCUGCUUGAACUGCUUGAAAGCACUGAAAACUGUUUCCCUGGUGCUGAACAAACUUUUCUCCUAGACUAGAA